rnacentral:lncRNA from 1 species
UGUCCUUGGUUGUUGCUUCUCCCAUCGAAUAAUGUACUUGGUUGCUCCUUUUCAUGGCUAGAAGAAUACUCGCUUCAGAUGUAUAUGUAUUGCGCAAUCUCCAUCAUGGAUCUCAAGGAAAGUAAAAUAAUAUUAUUCUGAUAUUUUUGUUCACAUCGUUUCACGUGGUGAGAUAAUGAAGAAUUAUGUUGCUUUCGUUUUCUUCGAAGACAAUUAAUUACACCUUUGUUUAAAAAUAAUGGCAAGGAAGGAAGCUGCAUUCAAGUAUUUGGACAAGUCCAUUCAUCUAUUAUUUUUAACAAAGGGUUCAAUUGCAUAAGAUGAUAUUUCACUUAUUCAAAUUCAACAUCAAAAGAUAUGUAAAUUCAACAUCGAUAUGCAGUGAUCGAUGAAUCAUUUUCAAUCAAAAAAGGGUCUCUUCUUUCCGUGAAAAGAAUAGACCAGAAGGACCGCCGCCCUUGUGCAGCAGAGCCAACCAAACUGGAGAUUCGGCACCUUCUUCUACAGUUAAUCUACCAGUGUUGUAGGUCAUUUCUGUUUUAACAUAGCCAGGGCAAACACAAUUGAUGCAAAAAUUUGGGUGCUUCUUGGCCAGGAUCCUUGUGUAGGCAUUCAUAGCUGCUUUUGAUAGUAUGUAAGCAGCUGCAUUAGCAGGCCAUCCUUUAGUUUCCGGUGAACCCUCUUUGUAAUCAUUUAGAUACUGGCUCAAUACCUCAUCCACUCUUUCUUCUGUGAGGUUCUCAGCAUCACUAAACACUCCUUUGGCCCAUUCAUGUGUUACAUACUGAAAGAAAAUGAUGAGAAACAGAAAUUUCAACCUUCAUGACUGAAAGAAAAUGAUGAGAAACAGAAAAUGAUGAGAAACAGAAAUUUCAACCUUCAUGACUGAAAGAAAAUGAUGAGAAACAGAAAUUUCAACCUCCAUGAUUCCAAUGAACUUAAUCAUAAUUAAAAUUUGAGACAAGGAGUACUCCAAUAUCGAUCUACAGGUAAUUAUAAGGGAACAUCAGAUGCAAUGGAAGCAAAAUUUAGCGGCCAAAUUGGGCUUAAUUACUACCCGAAUGUCAGCUAGUUCUAUUUUAUAAAGGGCUGUAAAACUGUUUUACCAUCAACUUUCCCAAGGAAGAGGAUACAUUAACAAUUCUUGCUGAAUCGGAUAACUGGAGGAGAGGAAUGAGUGCUUCACACAUUCUUUUAGCCCCCAAGUAGUUUGUUUGCAGGCACUUUUCAGCUGACUCAUAAGUUUGAGUCAUUUUUCCUCUUGCAACACCUUCCUGCAUCAUUGAGGCCACAAUAAAAAAAACAAAGAUCAUAGUGCCGUUCCAAACCUAGAGUUGAUUAGAUAGAAGGAAAGGGUCUUAUAUUUGGUAAAUUUUGAGCCAGACCGGCACCCAUGUUGUUCACUUUCUAGUAAUCCCAUCUAGUUUUAAACUCAGCUGCCUCAGAUUACGGCAAUGAAAAAAAGCUCUUAUUCAAAAGUACCUCAAUAAAACCUGACAAAGUAUCAGCAUCCGAACUGAUUCCAGUAAUCCCUGCAUUAUUUACCUGCCAAGAAAUCCAACUAAUUAUCACUCAGUUGUAUUAUCGGCCAAACUAGUUGCGUCAACAGAAAAAACUGAUUCUCAAUCAUACCAAAAUAUCAAGCUUUCCAAAAUGACUUCGAAUGAAAUCAGCUAGAGAGUGAAUAGCAGCAGGGUCUGCAACAUCAAGCUGAUGAAAGAUCACAUUAUCAAAGCCAGACUGUUUGAGUUUUUCAACAGCUUCAAGACCCCCCUUCUCAUCUCUGGCUGUUAGUACCGUAAUGACCCCAUUUGAAGCCAAUUGCCUCACUAUUUCAUACCCAAUUCCCUUAUUUGCUCCUGUAACAACUGCAUACCUGAAUGUAGAAAAUAGUGUGCCAAGAUGGAAUAAGAGUGUAUGGUGAGUUUAUUUAUUUUUUGUUAUGAUGCUUUAUUACCUAUGGUGCUUUAUGAGAUGCGGAGCUUAAAGAUAAGAUAUUACCUCUUAGCUGCUUCUGCCAUUGACGACGAAGUGUGGAAAACAACUGAGAGUCCUAGACAUCACAUAUAUAUAUUUUUUUUGAUUACAGGAGACUAUUGCUCAGAUUACAACUCAUAUUACAUGAGAAUAUAACUGAUAUGUACAAAUCAGACUAUAACUGGGACCAACAUACAUCAAAUCUAAUAGAGCACUGUCCAAAUUUUAACCCUCUCAAAUAUUCGAGAGAUGUCUACUUCUCACACUGGGACAAAAAAAUAAACUGCCUUCACUCAAUUUUAUUUGAGGAAGAAAACACCCCACAUACAUUGUGGGGGUUCGAACUGCUGUUCUCCAAAUUGGAGAGCAGCAGCUCUCACCACUCGGCCCAAGACAUCACAUAUUGAAAGUGCGAACUCAAAGGAAAGUCAGGUAACAAAUUGCACCUUGCCACGUGUUCUAAAACGAAGAAAGUUAACAGGGCGGCUAAGCAGUACGUGGAAAAAUUAAUCAAAUGACGUAGCAUGCAAUGCACCGCAAAUUUCCAAUCGCUGUACAGCUGAUAAAUAAAAUUCCGUGGACUGCCCUUCCAUUUCUUAAAAAAAUUAUUAUUCUCUAAAAAAAUCAUUUGCUGUUCUUUUGAGGGUUCAGUACAGAACAAAAGAUAAAAAAAGACAUUUAAAAAGCCGGGGAGGCUAUUUAAACCCACAAAACAACUCUUUACACCCAUAAUUUCACAAUAACUUUUAUUCCCAAAUUACCCAUUAUGACAAUUACUAUUAAGGAUAGACAAACAUAAAAUUAGUUGCUGGGAAGUGAAUGAAAGUUCUACAUAAGCUAAAAAUAAUUUUCUGCUUCUUAUGAAAAUACACAAUCAAAUACAGAAAUCAAACAAUAGAAAUAAUUGAAUUUGAUGAUUCAAGACUUAACGGAAAAAUAGAGUCCUUGGUAUGUAUAACUAAUAGUUAAUUAAGCUAGUUGGAACUCUAUGGCAAUUAUGGCGAUGGAUGAAAAAACAUGAAGAAUUUUUCGCAUCUUGCAGUUAUGAUGUGAAAUUAUAAAGAUUUUUGCGAAAGCCAAUGGAUGAAAAAGAAAUGGACAAUUUCAAUGUAAACCCAUCCGUAAUAUAUUCAGUAGUUUGUUGUUGGCUCAAAAUUUUCAAUUUAUUGGUGCACAUCAUCAAAGUUUAUUUUUUCAUGGAUUUAACAAUUAGGAUAGUUUUUAAUAUUAGCAAGGUGCAUCAGAGUUGCUGUCACCAUUCAAUACUGUAUCAAAAGAUAUCAAAAGAGGGAGGGACGAAAAAAGGGAACGAAGAAAGAAGAAGAAGAUUUAUACGCCAAAUUAAAAUAGGGUUAUUUUUGGGUUUUUGAACGGUUCAUAAAGUAUAGUUUUAUUUUUCAAAUUUACAUUGUGGGUGUGUUGAGAAAAUGGGUUUAGAAAGUAAGAUUUUGGGUUCAAAUAGCCCCACCCUUAAAAAGCAGGACAUUUCAUUUCGACCAGAAAAAAUAAUAAUCAUGAAAAGUCCAGACUGCCCUCCGUGAGUCCACGAGGCAUUAGAGCUAAUUUAACAGAACUUUUGACUUCUUCAGCAGCAGUUACGAGGCCAGCAACGGAAGUCGCAAGUUAUAUCAGUUUUCACUAAACACAAUUCAUCAGGAAAACUGGGUGGUUGUAACUUGUGUGUGUGUCUGGCCGUAAUCCUUGUUUAGGCAUUCAAAGCUGCUUUUGAGUUUGACAGAAUGUAGGCAGACUGAUGCGUAGGCCAGCCUUCUUUGUCAGGCGAUCCUUCUGACAAAACUUGUUCAAUAAGUCAUUAAUAUAUUAUACAACAGGGGUCCGCCUGGUCGGCCUGUGAAAUAUCAUAUAGCCCCCUAUUCUCUAUGUUAUUUAUAUUUUAUUUAUGAAUAUUAUAAAUUUUUUAAAUUAUAAAAUUUUGAUCAACCCCUUAUACUUAAUUUUAUUUUAUUGAGAUCCUAAAAUAUGUAUUCGCCCCCAUAAUUUUAAAUUUUCAAAAUAACCUCCAUUUAAUUAAAAAAUAUAAUUAUUGUUAAAUGAAAUAUAAUUAUUAUUUUAUUAUAAUCAUAAAUAUAAUUAUAUUUUUUAAAUAGAUUAUUGCUAUUAUUAAUAACAAGAAUAAAAAGCAUUAUAAUUAAUUAAUCUAUUAACAAUAAUUAAUAAUAUUUUUUAUUAAAUUGUUAAUAAUAAUAAUUAAUGAUAAUUAUUAUUAAUAAUUAAUUUUUGAAUAAUAAUAACAAUAACAAUAAUUAAAAUACAAAAUAAUAAUUAUGAUAAAAAUUAAUUAAAGAUUUUAUAGCAAUUGGUUACAAUUUAACUCAUUCUGAUUUUGAUUGUAAGACGAAAUAAACACAUAAAUGGUAAUACAGCUAAUUCUAAUUACGGUUUCUUCAGUUCAAGUAAAUAAAUUAUAAUGUUAUUUUGUUAUCUAUUUAUUUUUCUCCAAAACGUUUUCUAGAGAGAGAGAGAGUGUGUGUGUGUAGAUUUUUUUAACUUUUGAAAAUAAUCACAUUUUUUAAAAUCUUAUGAUAUAAUAAGAUGUAGAUCAAAUUUAACUCGAUGAAAAUAUAUUGGCUGUUAGAAAAUAAUUAUUAUUAUAAUUCAUUUAAUAAUAUAUUUUCUCAAAUAUUUAUUUUUAAUAUACUUUUUUUUUCUAACAACCAAUAUAUUUUCAUCGAGUUAAAUUUGAUCUACAUCUUAUUCUAUCGUAGAUUUUAAAAAAUGUGAUUAUUUUCAAAAAGUUAAAAAAAUAUACACUCUCUCUCUCUAGAAAACUUUUGGAGAAAAAUAAAUAGCUAACAAAAUAACAUUAUAAUUUAUUUACUUGAACUGAAGAAAUUGUAAUUAGAAUGAACUGUAUUACCAUUUAUUUGUUUAUUUUGUUUUAGAAUCAAAAUCAGAAUGAAUUAAAUUGUAAACCAAUCGUUAUAAAAUCCUUAAUUAAUUUCUAUCAUAAUUAUUAUUUUGUAUUUUAAUUAUUAUUAUUGUUAUUACUAUUCAAAAAUUAAUUAUUAAUAAUAAUUAUCGUUAAUUAUUAUUAUUAACAAUUUAAUAAAUUAUUAUUAAUAGAUUAAUUAAUUAUAAUGCUUUUUAUUCUUGUUACUAAUAAUAACAAUAAUCUAUUUAAAAACUAUAAUUAUAUUUAUGAUAAUACUUACGAUAAACAAUAGUAGUUAAGUAAAAGCUAUUCCACUUUCUAAAAAUAUUAAAUAGAUGUUCAGUAAACAAAUAUAAGGUAAAAAAUCAGAUUAAUUUGAAACAGGGAAAAUGGUACGCGAUAGGCGUUUACCACACACUUUAGCCGUUUUGCUUUCAAAUGCUACGCUGCAACACAACAGUUACAAACACGAUAGGCCUUUAGAUGGAAUCACCAGAACGCUAUCUAUUUUGCCUCAAGCUGUAUCUAAUUCCUAAUCCUAAUUCAUCCCUCAAUUCAAAGCAAUGAGGGGAAAAAAUAAAAAAUAAAUUGCAUGUAUGAAAGUACCUCAAAAAUUCCUACGAAGUUAUCACCUUCCAUGUUGAAUCCACCAAUCCCUGCAUUGUUUACCUGCCAAGAAGUCCAACAUUUAUAAUAAAUCAGUUUACAUAUAGACCGAAAAGAAGUUAUUUGACCAGGAAAACUAACAUAUUCUUGUAGUAUUCAGGAGAAAUGCGUUCCGGAUUGCCCUAAUAUCACUUGUUAUAGUUUGGAGACUCGUCAUUGACCCACAAAACUAACUCAAUCAGUUGAUACUAUUUGCCAACCUUAUUGAGCCCUGGAAUCCACUUGAUUUCAAUCUAAACAAGACCGUAAUACUUAUGCGACAGCAUCUUAAUUUGAUCAUCAGAAUCGAUUCUACAAUUGUGAUGCUCUGGAUACUCUACAAUCCACACUCUGCCUACUAAAUGAGUCCGUAAGAACAUUUUCAAGAUUUAUGGUGUUAUGCGAACAUUUCAAGAAACUGAUAUUGGAUAAAUCAUACCAGAAUAUCAAGUUUCCCAAACUGACUACUGACGAAAUGAACUACAGAGUCAACGCUAGCGGGGUCUGUCACAUCAAGCAGAUGAAAGAUCACAUUGUCACAGCCAGAGUUUUUGAGUUUUUCAACGGCUGCAAGACCCCUCUUCUCAUCUCUAGAAGUUAAGGCCACAGUGACUCCAUUGGAAGCUAAUUGCCUCACAAUUUCAAACCCAAUUCCCUUGUUUGCUCCUGUAACAACUGCAUGCCUGAUGAGAAAUUUCAUAUUGAAAAAAAAAAAAAAACAGAGAGAGAGAGUCCGAAAGGAAGUAAAAACAAAAGAUGAAAGAAGAAGGGGAAGGGGGAAUAAUGUACUUGGUUGUUGCUUAUCCCAUCGAAUAAUGUACUUGGUUGCUCCUUUUCAUGGCUAGAAGAAUACUUGCUUCAGAUGUAUAUGUAUUGCGCAAUCUCCAUCAUGGAUCUCAAGGAAAGUAAAAUAAUAUUAUUCUGAUAUUUUUGUUCACAUCGUUUCACGUGGUGAGAUAAUGAAUAAUUAUGUUGCUUUCGUUUUCUUCGAAGACAAUUAAUUACACCUUUGUUUAAAAAUAAUGGCAAGGAAGGAAGUUGCAUUCAAGUAUUUGGACAAGUCCAUUCAUCUAUUAUUUUUAACAAAGGGUUCAAUUGCAUAAGAUGAUAUUUCACUUAUUCAAAUUCAAUACAAAAGAUAUGUAAAUUCAACAUCGAUAUGCAGUGAUCGAUGAUUCAUUUUCAAUCAAAAAAGGGUCUCUUCUUUCCGUGAAAAGAAUAGACCAGAAGGACCGCCUUUGUGCAGCAGAGCCAACCAAACUGGAGAUUCGGCACCUUCUUCUACAGUUAAUCUACCAGUGUUGUAGGUCAUUUCUGUUUUAACAUAGCCAGGGCAAACACAAUUGAUGCAAAAAUUUGGGUACUUCUUGGCCAGGAUCCUUGUGUAGGCAUUCAUAGCUGCUUUUGAUAGUAUGUAAGCAGCUAGAUUGGCGGGCCAUCCUUUAGUUUCCGGUGAACCCUCUUUGUAAUCAUUUAGAUACUGGCUCAAUACCUCAUCCACUCUUUCUUCUGUGAGGUUCUCAGCAUCACUAAACACUCCUUUGGCCCAUUCAUGUGUUACAUACUGAAAGAAAACGAUGAGAAACAGAAAUUUCAACCUUCAUGAUUCCAAUGAACUUAAUCAUAAUUAAAAUUUGAGACAAGGAGUACUCCAAUAUCGAUCUACAGGUAAUUAUAAGGGAACAUCAGAUGCAAUGGAAGCAAAAUUUAGUGGACAAAUUGGGCUUAAUUACUACCCGAAUGUCAGCUAGUUCUAUUUUAUAAAGGGCUGUAAAACUGUUUUACCUUUAACUUUCCCGAGGAAGAGGAUACAUUAACAAUUCUUGCUGAAUCGGAUAACUGGAGGAGAGGAAUGAGUGCUUCACACAUUCUUUUGGCCCCCAAGUAGUUUGUUUGCAGGCACUUUUCAGCUGACUCAUAAGUUUGAAUCAUUUUUCCUCUUGCAACACCUUCCUGCAUCAUUGAGGCCACAAUAAAGAAACAAAGAUCAUAGUGCCGUUCCAAACCUAGAGUUGAUUAGAUAGAAGGAAAGGGUCUUAUAUUUGGUAAAUUUUGAGCCAGACCGGCACCCAUGUUGUUCACUUUCUAGUAAUCCCAUCUAGUUUUAAACUCAGCUGCCUCAGAUUACGGCAAUGAAAAAAAGCUCUUAUUCAAAAGUACCUCAAUAAAACCUGACAAAGUAUCAGCAUCCGAACUGAUUCCAGUAAUCCCUGCAUUAUUUACCUGCCAAGAAAUCCAACUAAUUAUCACUCAGUUGUAUUAUGGGCCAAACUAGUUGCGUCAACAGAAAAAACUGAUUCUCAAUCAUACCAAAAUAUCAAGCUUUCCAAAAUGACUUCGAAUGAAAUCAGCUAGAGAGUGAAUAGCAGCAGGGUCUGCAACAUCAAGCUGAUGAAAGAUCACAUUAUCAAAGCCAGACUGUUUGAGUUUUUCAACAGCUUCAAGACCCCCCUUCUCAUCUCUGGCUGUUAGUACCGUAAUGACCCCAUUUGAAGCCAAUUGCCUCACUAUUUCAUACCCAAUUCCCUUAUUUGCUCCUGUAACAACUGCAUACCUGAAUGUAGAAAAUAGUGUGCCAAGAUGGAAUAAGAGUGUAUGGUGAGUUUAUUUAUUUUUUGUUAUGAUGCUUUAUUACCUAUGGUGCUUUAUGAGAUGUGGAGCUUAAAGAUAAGAUAUUACCUCUUAGCUGCUUCUGCCAUUGACGACGAAGUGUGGAAAACAACUGAGAGUCCUAGACAUCACAUAUUGAACGUGCGAACUCAAAGGAAAGUCAGGUAACAAAUUGCACCUUGCCACGUGUUCUAAAACGAAGAAAGUUAACAGGGCGGCUAAGCAGUACGUGGAAAAAUUAAUCAAAUGACGUAGCAUGCAAUGCACCGCAAAUUUCCAAUCGCUGUACAGCUGAUAAAUAAAAUUCCGUGGACUGCUCUUCCAUUUCUUAAAAAAAUUAUUAUUCUCUAAAAAAAUCAUUUGCUGUUCUUUUGAGGGUUCAGUACAGAACAAAAGAUAAAAAAAGACAUUUAAAAAGCAGGACAUUUCAUUUCGACUAGAAAAAAUAAUAAUCAUGAAAAGUCCAGACUGCCCUCCGUGAGUCCACGAGGCAUUAGAGCUAAUUUAACAGAACUUUUGACUUCUUCAGCAGCAGUUACGAGGCCAGCAACGGAAGUCGCAAGUUAUAUCAGUUUUCACUAAACACAAUGCAUCAGGAAAACUGGGUGGUUGUAACUUGUGUGUGUGUCUGGCCGUAAUCCUUGUUUAGGCAUUCAAAGCUGCUUUUGAGUUUGACAGAAUGUAGGCAGACUGAUGCGUAGGCCAGCCUUCUUUGUCAGGCGAUCCUUCUGACAAAACUUGUUCAAUAAGUCAUUAAUAUAUUAUACAACAGGGGUCCGCCUGGUCGGCCUGUGAAAUGUCAUAUAGCCCCCUAUUCUCUAUGUUAUUUAUAUUUUAUUUAUGAAUAUUAUAAAUUUUUUGAAUUGUAAAAUUUUGUUCAACCCUUAUACUCAAUUUUAUUUUAUUGAGAUCCUAAAAUAUGUAUUCGCCCCCAGAAUUUUAAAUUUUCAAAAUAACCUCCAUUUAAUUAAAAAAUAUAAUUAUUGUUAAAUGAAUUAUAAUUAUUAUUUUAUUAUAAUCAUAAAUAUAAUUAUAUUUUUUAAAUAGAUUAUUGCUAUUAUUAAUAACAAGAAUAAAAAGUAUUAUAAUUAAUUAAUCUAUUAACAAUAAUUAAUAAUAUUUUUUAUUAAAUUGUUAAUAAUAAUAAUUAAUGAUAAUUAUUAUUAAUAAUUAAUUUUUGAAUAAUAAUAACAAUAACAAUAAUUAAAAUACAAAAUAAUAAUUAUGAUAAAAAUUAAUUAAGGAUUUUAUAGCAAUUGGUUACAAUUUAACUCAUUCUGAUUUUGAUUAUAAGACGAAAUAAAACACAUAAAUGGUAAUACAGCUAAUUCUAAUUACGGUUUCUUCAGUUCAAGUAAAUAAAUUAUAAUGUUAUUUUGUUAUCUAUUUAUUUUUCUCCAAAACGUUUUCUAGAGAGAGAGAGAGCGUGUGUGUAGAUUUUUUUAACUUUUGAAAAUAAUCACAUUUUUUAAAAUCUUAUGAUAUAAUAAGAUGUAGAUCAAAUUUAACUCGAUGAAAAUAUAUUGGCUGUUAGAAAAUAAUUAUUAUUAUAAUUCAUUUAAUAAUAUAUUUUCUCAAAUAUUUAUUUUUAAUAUACUUUUUUUUUCUAACAACCAAUAUAUUUUCAUCGAGUUAAAUUUGAUCUACAUCUUAUUCUAUCGUAGAUUUUAAAAAAUGUGAUUAUUUUCAAAAAGUUAAAAAAAUAUACACUCUCUCUCUCUAGAAAACUUUUGGAGAAAAAUAAAUAGCUAACAAAAUAACAUUAUAAUUUAUUUACUUGAACUGAAGAAAUUGUAAUUAGAAUAAACUGUAUUACCAUUUAUUUGUUUAUUUUGUUUUAGAAUCAAAAUCAGAAUGAAUUAAAUUGUAAACCAAUCGUUAUAAAAUCCUUAAUUAAUUUUUAUCAUAAUUAUUAUUUUGUAUUUUAAUAAUUAUUAUUGUUAUUACUAUUCAAAAAUUAAUUAUUAAUAAUAAUUAUCGUUAAUUAUUAUUAUUAACAAUUUAAUAAAUUAUUAUUAAUAAAUUAAUUAAUUAUAAUGCUUUUUAUUCUUGUUACUAAUAAUAACAAUAAUCUAUUUAAAAACUAUAAUUAUAUUUAUGAUAAUACUUACGAUAAACAAUAGUAGUUAAGUAAAAGCUAUUCCACUUUCUAAAAAUAUUAAAUAGAUGUUCAGUAAACAAAUAUAAGGUAAAAAAUCAGAUUAAUUUGAAACAGGGAAAAUGGUACGCGAUAGGCGUUUACCACACACUUUAGCCGUUUUGCUUUCAAAUGCUACGCUGCAACACAACAGUUACAAACACGAUAGGCCUUUAGAUGGAAUCACCAGAACGCUAUCUAUUUUGCCUCAAGCUGUAUCUAAUUCCUAAUCCUAAUUCAUCCCUCAAUUCAAAGCAAUGAGGGGAAAAAAUAAAAAAUAAAUUGCAUGUAUGAAAGUACCUCAAAAAUUCCUACGAAGUUAUCACCUUCCAUGUUGAAUCCACCAAUCCCUGCAUUGUUUACCUGCCAAGAAGUCCAACAUUUAUAAUAAAUCAGUUUACAUAUAGACCGAAAAGAAGUUAUUUGACCAGGAAAACUAACAUAUUCUUGUAGUAUUCAGGAGAAAUGCGUUCCGGAUUGCCCUAAUAUCACUUGUUAUAGUUUGGAGACUCGUCAUUGACCCACAAAACUAACUCAAUCAGUUGAUACUAUUUGCCAACCUUAUUGAGCCCUGGAAUCCACUUGAUUUCAAUCUAAACAAGACCGUAAUACUUAUGCGACAGCAUCUUAAUUUGAUCAUCAGAAUCGAUUCUACAAUUGUGAUGCUCUGGAUACUCUACAAUCCACACUCUGCCUACUAAAUGAGUCCGUAAGAACAUUUUCAAGAUUUAUGGUGUUAUGCGAACAUUUCAAGAAACUGAUAUUGGAUAAAUCACACCAGAAUAUCAAGCUUCCCAAACUGACUACUGACGAAAUGAACUAGAGAGUCAACGCUAGCGGGGUCUGUCACAUCAAGCAGAUGAAAGAUCACAUUGUCACAGCCAGAGUUUUUUAGUUUUUCAACAGCUGCAAGACCCCUCUUCUCAUCUCUAGCAGUUAAGGCCACAGUGACUCCAUUGGAAGCUAAUUGCCUCACAAUUUCAAACCCAAUUCCCUUGUUUGCUUCUGUAACAACUGCAUGCCUGAUGAGAAAUUUCAUAUUGAAAAAAAAAAAAAACAGAGAGAGAGAGUCCUAAAGGAAGUAAAAACAAAAGAUGAAAGCAGAAGAGGAAGGGGGAAUAAUGUACUUGGUUGCUCCUUUUCAUGGCUAGAAGAAUACUUGCUUCAGAUGUAUAUGUAUUGCGCAAUCUCCAUCGUGGAUCUCCAGGAAAGUAAAAUAAUAUUAUUCUGAUAUUUUUAUUCACAUCGUUUCACGUGGUGAGAUAAUGAAGAAUUAUGUUGCUUUCGUUUUCUUCGAAGACAAUUAAUUACACCUUUGUUUAAAAAUAAUGGCAAGGAAGGAAGCUGCAUUCAAGUAUUUGGACAAGUCCAUUCAUCUAUUAUUUUUAACAAAGGGUUCAAUUGCAUAAGAUGAUAUUUCACUUAUUCAAAUUCAACAUCAAAAGAUAUGUAAAUUCAACAUCGAUAUGCAGUGAUCGAUGAAUCAUUUUCAAUCAAAAAAGGGUCUAACUGGAGAUUCGGCACCUUCUUCUACAGUUAAUCUACCAGUGUUGUAGGUCAUUUCUGUUUUAACAUAGCCAGGGCAAACACAAUUGAUGCAAAAAUUUGGGUACUUCUUGGCCAGGAUCCUUGUGUAGGCAUUCAUAGCUGCUUUUGAUAGUAUGUAAGCAGCUAGAUUAGCAGGCCAUCCUUUAGUUUCCGGUGAACCCUCUUUGUAAUCAUUUAGAUACUGGCUCAAUACCUCAUCCACUCUUUCUUCUGUGAGGUUCUCAGCAUCACUAAACACUCCUUUGGCCCAUUCAUGUGUUACAUACUGAAAGAUAAUGAUGAGAAACAGAAAUUUCAACCUUCAUGAUUCCAAUGAACUUAAUCAUAAUUAAAAUUUGAGACAAGGAGUACUCCAAUAUCGAUCUACAGGUAAUUAUAAGGGAACAUCAGAUACAAUGGAAGCAAAAUUUAACGGCCAAAUUGGGCUUAAUUACUACCCGAAUGUCAGCUAGUUCUAUUUUAUAAAGGGCUGUAAAACUGUUU